GACGAACGCUGGCGGCGUGCCUAACACAUGCAAGUCGAACGGAAAGGCCCUGCUUUUGUGCGGUGCUGGAGUGCCGAACGGGUGAGUGUCACGUGAGUAACCUGCCCUUGACUUUGGGGUAACUUCAGGAAACUGGGGCUAAUAUCGGAUAGGAGCUCCUGCAGCAUGGUGGGGAUGGGAAAGUUUCGGCGGUUGGGGAUGGACUCGCGGCUUAUCAGCUUGUUGGUGGGGUAGUGGCUUACCAAGGCUUUGACGGGUAGCCGGCCUGAGAGGGUGACCGGCCACAUUGGGCCUGAGAGACGGCCCAGACGGCUACGGGAGGCAGCGGUGGGGAAUAUUGCACAAUGGGCGGAAGCCGGAUGCAGCAACGCCGCGUGCGUGAUGACGGCCUUCGGGGUAUAAACCGCUUUAGCCUGUGACGAAGCGUGAGUGACGGUAAUGGGUAAAGAAGCACCGGCUAACUACGUG
rnacentral:rRNA from 1 species